UCUGUUGUUAGGGAAGAACAAGUGCGAGAGUAACUGCUCGCACCUUGACGGUACCUAACCAGAAAGCCACGGCUAACUACGUGCCAGCAGCCGCGGUAAUACGUAGGUGGCAAGCGUUGUCCGGAAUUAUUGGGCGUAAAGGGCUCGCAGGCGGUUUCUUAAGUCUGAUGUGAAAGCCCCCGGCUCAACCGGGGAGGGUCAUUGGAAACUGGGAAACUUGAGUGCAGAAGAGGAGAGUGGAAUUCCACGUGUAGCGGUGAAAUGCGUAGAGAUGUGGAGGAACACCAGUGGCGAAGGCGACUCUCUGGUCUGUAACUGACGCUGAGGAGCGAAAGCGUGGGGAGCGAACAGGAUUAGAUACCCUGGUAGUCCACGCCGUAAACGAUGAGUGCUAAGUGUUAGGGGGUUUCCGCCCCUUAGUGCUGCAGCUAACGCAUUAAGCACUCCGCCUGGGGAGUACGGUCGCAAGACUGAAACUCAAAGGAAUUGACGGGGGCCCGCACAAGCGGUGGAGCAUGUGGUUUAAUUCGAAGCAACGCGAAGAACCUUACCAGGUCUUGACAUCCUCUGACAACCCUAGAGAUAGGGCUUUCCCUUCGGGGACAGAGUGACAGGUGGUGCAUGGUUGUCGUCAGCUCGUGUCGUGAGAUGUUGGGUUAAGUCCCGCAACGAGCGCAACCCUUGAUCUUAGUUGCCAGCAUUUAGUUGGGCACUCUAAGGUGACUGCCGGUGACAAACCGGAGGAAGGUGGGGAUGACGUCAAAUCAUCAUGCCCCUUAUGACCUGGGCUACACACGUGCUACAAUGGACAGAACAAAGGGCUGCGAGACCGCAAGGUUUAGCCAAUCCCAUAAAUCUGUUCUCAGUUCGGAUCGCAGUCUGCAACUCGACUGCGUGAAGCUGGAAUCGCUAGUAAUCGCGGAUCAGCAUGCCGCGGUGAAUACGUUCCC
rnacentral:rRNA from 1 species